CAUUAUUUCCCUCCCCACAGCCUGGACAGAAGUCUGCCUCUUUUCCUUUCCUAUCACAUCUCAGAGAGUAUAUAGAAAGCUCUGAAUGGUACCCAGCAUCACUGGGUAUGGAACUUCCACCUUUUGACUGUUAAAAACUGUUAGGCACAGGAUGUGAGGAGUGAAAAAAGAAAGAAAAAGAAGCAAGGUGGAGGGAAUGGAGAAGAAGGGCGAGACCUGCCAGAGCCACAUGCUUGAGUGGGCUAGUGUCCCUUCAUUGUGUCCCUCAAGGAGCCCAUCUCUGAAGAAGUUCUGAGACAGUAUAUUUUCCAUUUAGAUACUCUUUGACAUGUAAGAAAAUUAGCCAUUAAAGGAUGGACAUAGAACUGGGUGAUAGACUUUGCAGGUCCGAACGACAAGAUGAUUAUGCCAAGGUCAACUUAAAGAUCUCCUGCAUUUGUAAUGUACUUUGAAAGAAAAACUAUAAGCAUGGUGACAGGAA